rnacentral:rRNA from 1 species
AUACGGAGGAUCCGAGCGUUAUCCGGAUUUAUUGGGUUUAACGGGUGCGCAGGCGGCCAUUUAAGUCAGCGGUUAAAUCGUGGGGCUCAACCCCAUUCUGCCGUUGAUACUGGGUGGCUUGAUUGCGGUCGAGGUUGGCGGAAUUCGUUGUGUAGCGGUGAAAUGCAUAGAUAUGACGAAGAACACCGAUUGCGUAGGCAGCUGACCAGACCGCAAAUGACGCUCAUGCACGAAAGUGCGGGGAUCGAACAGGAUUAGAUACCCUGGUAGUCCGCACAGUAAACGAUGAAUACUUGUUUUCGGCGAUAUAAUGUCGGAGGCAAAGCGAAAGCGAUAAGUAUUCCACCUGGGGAGUACGCCGGCAACGGUGAAACUCAAAGGAAUUGACGGGG